UGAUUUCCCCACUCUCAAACCACGGGUCUGAAACCACUUUUAAUAUUGAUCAAUUUUCAUCGUCAUCUAUCUGUUUUUCGAUGCCAACAAGAUAAUAAUUGCAGUCAGUAUAAUUUUUAUUAUUAUUUUUGCAGGAAUUGAAAGCUAAAUUGGUGACAAAAUGGGAUUUUAAAAGAUACUUUCAAGGAAAAUGGUGGAGCCAUGGAACUCUGCUUUAGUAUAUUUGAUUGAUAGAGUGUUUAGUUAAUUCUCUACUACUAUUACUUCUAUAAAUUUGUUUGACACACUGGAAAGGGGUCUUCACAGAUAACCUUCAUUAGACAUUCAUUCACUGUGAUGGAUGUUAGGAUGCAAUCUUUUGCCACAUAUGAGAUAGGAGUAAUGUUUCUUACCUCUUAUACCUCUCCUCUCUUCAGGGAUUUGCCUAAUAUCAAAAACCAAUGUUCAAGAGCUUUGAGAACUUCACUGAAUGUUUGAGCAUCCUCUCUGGAAAGGACUUGCUUUCUCUUCUCUCCUACUAUGUAUUUAUGAUGGCUUUUCUCCAUAAAAGUUAACAGCAUAGAAGGGAUAAAGGAUGGAUUGGUUGAAGAUAGCCUUCUGCUUUAUGCUUGUACUAGUAACAAUUUAUUUGUUAUAUGGGAGGAAAAUGGAAUCUGUUUGAUCUCACGAGGACAAAACUGGGAGAAAACUAGUGAAUACACCCUAUUCAAUAAGAGUUUCAGCCAUAGGAUUUUUGGAUAUGCGGUCAUCUCCAGAAUCUGUAAUAGAUAUCCUCCAAGGGUUUCAAAAUGUCACCCCUCUUCAUUAUUUGUACAUUUUUGGGCACACAUCUCUUCUAAAAAGGACAUGCCUCUCUCACUUGGGCAACUAUCUUUGCUAAAUAAAUAACGAUAGAGAGAUAAAGUAUGAGAAUGGUCCAAUUUAGCCACAUACCAUGUGUUGUAAUUUUUGGUGGAUCCAUCAUCACAAUUCUCAGGGCAGCCCUGAUUUUCUCAUGCUCAUACCAAAGCCAAUUUGAAGCUUCAAAGCUAAAUCAUGACAAAGGGUGCUCUAUCACUCUAUUUGAAGGUCCAGCAGUACUUGAAUGGCUUCAUCUUUCCUUUUUCUGCCACACUGAUGUUUUAACUAGAAACAUCAAAGUCCGAAGUUUAACCAUUCAAAGAAAAAUGCCUGUAUAACUACUGACGUGGUGUUUACAGGCAUUUUAAACUCUGCAGUCUCCAUUAGUGGUGAAGGAUGCUAAGAUGUGGUGUUGUUGCAAGAAGAAGAGAUAGGAAUGAUGCUGCCUCCCUCUUUAACCCAUAUCUCCAUAGGAAAUAUCGAAAAUCUGAAAUACAUUUCGGCAAGGGCUUUCAAAACCUCACCUUUCUUCAAUAUUUGUACAUCUCUGAUUGUUCUAAGCUCACAGUUCUUCCAGAUAAAGACAUGCUUUUCUCGCUUGAGGAACUACAAAUUCAGGAUUGUCCAUUGCUAAAAGAAGAGUGCAAAAGGGGUAAAGGAUGAGAGUGGUCCAAGAUUGCCCACAUAUCUUUUGUUAUAAUUGAUUGAGAUAGGAUCAUCCCGAAGGAAUUAAAUGGAAAUUCCGCCCUGAUUUGCCUACUCUCAAACCACAGGCGUUGAGAGCUAAAUUGGUGACAAUAUGGGAUUUUAUUAGAUCCUUUCAAGGAAAAUGGUGGAGCCAUAUCGAACUCUGCUUUAGCUUAAUGAUUGAUUGAGUGGGAUUUGCCUAAUAUCUAAAACCAAUGUUCAAGAGCUUUUUGAACUUCACUGAAUGUUUAAGCAUCCUUUCUGGAAAGGACUUACUUUCUCUCUUGUCCAACUAUUUAUUUAUGAUGGCUUUUCUCCAUAAAAGUUAACAGCGUUGAAGGGAUUAAGGAUGGAUUGGUUGAAGAUAGCCUUCUGCUUUAUGCUUGUACUAGUAACAGCUUAUUUGGUAUCUGGGAGGAAAAAUGGAAUCUGUUUGAUCUCACAAGGACAAAACUGGGAGAAAACUAGUGAAUAUACCCUAUUCAAUCAGAGUUUGAACGAUAGGAUGUUUGGAUAUGCAUUCAUCUUCAAAAUCUGUAAUAGAUAUCCUCCAAGGCUUUCAAAAUCUCACCCCUCUUCAUUAUUGGUACAUUUUUGGGCACACAUAUCUUCUGCAAAAAGACAUGCUUCUCUCACUUGCAACUAUCUUUGCUAAAUAAAUAGCAAUAGAGUGAUAAAGUAUGAGAAUGGUCCAAUUUAGCCAUGUACCUUGUGUUGUAAUUGUUGGUGGAUGCAUCAUUACAAUUCUCAGGGCAGCCCUGAUUUUCCCAUGUUCAUACCAAAGCCUGAAGUUUCAAAGCUAAAUCUUGACAGAGGGUGUUCUAUCACUCUAUUUGAAGGUUCAGUAGUACUUGAAAGGCUUCACCUCUCCUUUUUUCUACCACACUGAUGUUUACACUAGCAACAUCAAAGUCCGAAGUUUAACCAUUCAAAUAAAAAUGCCUUUAUAACUACAGAUGUGGUUUUUACGGGCAUUUUAAACUCUACAGUCUACAACUCUACAUUAGUGGUGAAGGAUGCUCAGAUGUGGUGUCAUUUCCAGAAGAAGAGAUAGGAAGGAUGCUGCGUCCUCUCACCUUUACCUCCAUACAAAAUUUCGAAAAUCUGAAACACAUGUUCUCCAAGAGCUUUCAAAACCUCACCUCUCUUCAAUAUUUAUUCAUCUUUGAUUGCUCUAAGCUCACAUCUCUUCCGGAAAAAGACAUGCUUCUCUUGCUUGAGAAGCUAGAGAUUCACUGUUGCCUAUUGCUAAAAGAAGAGUGCAGAAGGGGCAAAGAACAAGGGUGGUUCAAGAUUGCCCACAUACCUUCUGUUGAAAUAGACUAUGAAAGCAUCAUCCUGAAGGGAUUGAAGUGAAGAUUAAGUUGGAAAAUCCAAUCCUCGUUUCAUUGCUCAAAAACACAGACAAUUUGGAAGCUAAAUUGGUGGGAAAAUGGGCUUAUUUAAACAAUAUUUUCAAGGGAAAUGGUGUAGCUAUCUAAAUCUGCUUUGGCUUAUUUGAUUAAUGUAGCAGUCAUUUAAUUAAUUCUCUGCAACUUUUAUCUACAAUGCAGAAUUUUUUUUCCGUCCUUAAAAUUGUUCGUAACAAUUAAAAACUAGCUCUAUAUAUUGAAAAAAUCUUCCGCAUUCUUAAUGUGAUGAAUUUUGUAUACUUUUUAUAUAAUUUCAAACUUUGCCAACCAUGCUUCCUUUGCCAACCGUUUAACUUAUUUCUUACAUUUUCAUUGUUCACAUCUAGUCUCUUUGUGCUUAUUUAACCUUUUGAUCUUACUUUUGUAAAUUUCUUGGAGAGCUAGAGGAAAGGGGAAUGAGAUUGCAUCUCUGUUAACAUUACUUUCGUAAAUUUGUUUGAGUAGGUCUGCACAAACUAACCUUUAUUAGACAUUUUUUGGCCAAUCAUUAGAAGUUAUUUGAUGGUGAUAGAUGUUAGGAGGCAAUAGCUUGGCCACAUAUGAGAUAGGAAUAAUGUUGCUUACGUGUUAUACUUCCUUUUCCUCAGGGAUUCACUGAUUAUGAAUACCUUCAAGAGCUUUCAGAACUUCACUCCAAGUUUGCGCACCCCUUCUGGAAAGGAUUUGCUUUCUUUCUUCUCAAACUAUGUAUUGAUGGCUUUUCUCUUGCAAAAUUAACAGCAUGGAAGGGAUAAAGGAAGGGCUGCUUGAAGAUUGCAUGUUUGCUUUAUGCUUGUGUUAGUAACAGAUGAUUACUUGUUAUCUGGGAGGACAAGUGAAAUCUUCUUGACCUCAUUAGAAGAAACUGUGAGAAAACCAAUGAAUAUACCCUAUUCAAUCAUAGUUUUAAUCAUAGGAUGUUUGGAGAUGCCAUCAUCUCCAAAAUCUGAAGUACAUAUCCUCCAAGAGCUUUCAAAACCUCAUCUCUCUUCAGUAUUCGUGCAUUUAUGAGCAGACAUCUAUUCUGGAAAAAGACAUACUUCUCUCAUUUGGGCAACCAUCUUUGCAAAAAAUAUGGUGAAAAGGGGAUAAAGUUUGAGAAUGGUCCAAGAUAGCCACACACCUUCUGUUGUGUUAUUGGUGGAUGCAUCAUCACAAUUCUUAGGGCAGCCAUGAAUUUCUCAUGGUCAUACCAAAGUUCCUGUUUAGCAUCAAAAGGACACCCAGAACAUCUUAGAAGUCAUUGUGUGACAAAAAAAUAUUUAGUUUUUUCUAUAGGGAGGAAAUAAGCAUGCCUGGUCCCAAUUAUGGAGUCCUUGAAAGCAACAAGAAGCAUGCAGCAGAUGGGAUGCUUUAUAGGCCCAUGUACUUCCCCUGCAGUUUUACUUGCUUGUGUCUGCUAAGGUAUCAAAAGUAUGUACCCAGUAAUGCUGUCUGCUGAAGUAAUUGAAAGUAUGUAUUCACUGAUGAUGGCUUGGUAGAUCAUUUCAGAUAUGCCAUCGUUGGUAUCAGUACUGUAGUGGAUUAUAGCUUCAGGUUCUUGAUCCAAUUGCAAGUGGCAUAGAAGAAUUUGAAGCAGUUUUGGUAAUUGAUAUUCUGCAAGCAUAAGCAUAUAUUGUGGUGGCCUCUUUUGGAGACAAUAUGUAAAUUCUGGCUUCCCAGAAAGUUAAAUUUGUGACUUGUAUGCUCCUUGAAGCUUCCAAACUUUCACAUGAGAUCAUAUUCUUGCCAGUAAGAUGGGAUUUCAUCAUUUUCCUUCUGAUAGAAAGUAGUUCUCUAGCAUUCCUCAACCCGAAGAAGCUUGUGAACUGCACAAACAAGCAAGCUAAAAGACCUACCGAGUAUAUGUACAUCCCUAGCUUUGAUUCUGGCAAGAAGAUUGUGAACUGCACAAACAAGCAAGCUAAAAGACCUACCGAGUAUAUGUGCAUCACUAGCUUUGAUUUUGGUUCCCAAUGGCUUACACGAGAAACUUCUUUGUUGGUGGCAAAGAUGGCUGAGUUUUACAGCCUAAAGAGAAGUACAAUGGCUGGGCUGGUAGACAAAGAGUUCCAAGUCAAUUGACACCCUUAUUUUCAAAUAUGAGAAAGGAUCAGACUCGGUUUUGUUGGUGCAUAAAGAUGAUUACUUUAAGUGCAACUGAAAGAACCCUGGCCUAUAAAGGAAAUGACAAGUGGAAGUUCUGAGUUUUAGUUUUCUCAUUCUGGUCCCUUCUUUUUCAUUAAUGGCCAAGAGGGUCAUUGCCAAAAGGGGCAAAAACUGAUCACUGUUGUUAUAGUUGAGAGAAAGGCUAUGUCGUCAACUCA